rnacentral:rRNA from 1 species
AACGAACGCUGGCGGCAUGCCUAACACAUGCAAGUCGAACGAUCCCUUCGGGGAUAGUGGCGCACGGGUGCGUAACGCGUGGGAAUCUGCCCUUGGGUUCGGAAUAACAGUUAGAAAUGACUGCUAAUACCGGAUGAUGUCUUCGGACCAAAGAUUUAUCGCCCAGGGAUGAGCCCGCGUAGGAUUAGGUAGUUGGUGGGGUAAUGGCCUACCAAGCCGACGAUCCUUAGCUGGUCUGAGAGGAUGAUCAGCCACACUGGGACUGAGACACGGCCCAGACUCCUACGGGAGGCAGCAGUGGGGAAUAUUGGACAAUGGGCGCAAGCCUGAUCCAGCAAUGCCGCGUGAGUGAUGAAGGCCUUAGGGUUGUAAAGCUCUUUUACCAGGGAUGAUAAUGACAGUACCUGGAGAAUAAGCUCCGGCUAACUCCGUGCCAGCCGCCGCGGUAA